GAUGAACGCUGGCGGCGUGCUUAACACAUGCAAGUCGAACGGUGAACGAGGGAGCUUGCUCCCUCCGGAUCAGUGGCGAACGGGUGAGUAACACGUGAGCAAUCUGCCCUGGACUCUGGGAUAAGCGUUGGAAACGACGUCUAAUACCGGAUACGAGGCGCGAAGGCAUCUUCAGCGUCUGGAAAGAACUUCGGUCCAGGAUGAGCUCGCGGCCUAUCAGGUAGUUGGUGAGGUACGGCUCACCAAGCCUACGACGGGUAGCCGGCCUGAGAGGGUGACCGGCCACACUGGGACUGAGACACGGCCCAGACUCCUACGGGAGGCAGCAGUGGGGAAUAUUGCACGAUGGGCGCAAGCCUGAUGCAGCAACGCCGCGUGAGGGACGACGGCCUUCGGGUUGUAAACCUCUUUUAGCAGGGAAGAAGCGAAAGUGACGGUACCUGCAGAAAAAGCACCGGCUAACUACGUGCCAGCCGCCGCGGUAAGAC
rnacentral:rRNA from 1 species